rnacentral:rRNA from 1 species
GGGCCCGCACAAGCGGUGGAGUAUGUGGUUUAAUUCGAUGCAACGCGAAGAACCUUACCAGGGUUUGACAUCCUGCGAAUCUCUUGGAAACAGGAGAGUGCCUUCGGGAACGCAGUGACAGGUGGUGCAUGGCUGUCGUCAGCUCGUGUCGUGAGAUGUUGGGUUAAGUCCCGCAACGAGCGCAACCCACGUCUUUAGUUGCCAGCAUUUAGUUGGGCACUCUAGAAAGACUGCCGGUGACAAACCGGAGGAAGGUGAGGAUGACGUCAAGUCAGCAUGCCCCUUAUGUCCUGGGCUACACACGUGCUACAAUGGUUAGGACAAAGAGUCGCAAGUUUGCAAAAACAAGCUAAUCUCAUAAACCUCACCUAAGUUCAGAUUGUAGGCUGCAACUCGCCUACAUGAAGUUGGAAUCGCUAGUAAUCGC